rnacentral:piRNA from 1 species
GACAGCCAUAUCAGGAUUCUUUCAGCAAGC